GCGUGCCCGCGCCGCUGCGCGAUGCAGUGUGGGGAAUGGCUGGGGUUGGCUGAAGAGCGCACAGUGGAGUUUUAAUGUCCGCCAUGUUGGCCAUGGCGUAUUGAAGAGAGCGAGCGAGAGAGGAGCGGAGCGGCACAGCCUCCCACCCUCCCGGCUGGUGUUAGUGCCCGGACGGCGGGCUCUGCGCUCCGCCCCUCAAGUCCCCGGCAGCGGUUGGCGAGUGGGGACCGAACCCCCGGUUCUCCAUGAUCCCGCUGGCCGGGGCCGUUUCCCCAGAGCGGAGAGGUAUCUGCUGCGCCUGAGAUGAGUAAACUGUCGUUUCGGGCGCGGGCGCUAGACGCCUCGAAGCCGCUGCCGGUUUUCCGCUGUGAGGAUCUGCCCGACCUGCACGAAUACGCCUCGAUAAACAGGGCCGUGCCGCAGAUGCCCACCGGAAUGGAGAAGGAAGAGGAGUCGGUACAGCCAUUUAAACAGGGUGCAGUGUAUUGACAGUUCAAGGAAGUCCAGGAGUCGCGUGGAUUUGUGUGCUACAAUUUUGUUGUGGAAAAUUGUACUGUAAUACUUCUCUUGGUACUGUAAGAAUUUUUAAUGUAGAAAUUAUGCUCUGUAAUGUUGUUUUUGGAAAUAAAACUGUUUAAACUCUUUGGGUUGUUUAACCUUUUAAAGUGAAAUAGCUGUGACAGUGAAAUGUUACUUUUGAGAGUAGUGUCUUAAAUCUAACUUUACAGAUAAGCCAAGUGUAUGUAGUAGCUCAGAUUGUCUAGUUGGGCACUGACUUUCAGCACAUUGUCUCAUGAGACACUACCUCUUAAUUUAUUUUACUUGUAUCAACUUUAGAGUAGCAUGGCCAUUUGUUUAUUUUUUAAUAAGUGAUUUGUUUUUAAAAAUUAAAGUACUUGUGACUGCA
rnacentral:lncRNA from 1 species